rnacentral:rRNA from 1 species
CCCAGACUCCUACGGGAGGCAGCAGUGGGGAAUAUUGCACAAUGGGGGGAACCCUGAUGCAGCGACGCCGCGUGGGUGAAGGAGUACUUCGGUACGUAAAGCCCUAUCAGCAGGAAAGAAAAUGACGGUACCUGACUAAGAAGCCCCGGCUAACUACGUGCCAGCAGCCGCGGUAAUACGUAGGGGGCAAGCGUUAUCCGGAUUUACUGGGUGUAAAGGGAGCGUAGACGGCAGUGCAAGUCCGGAGUGAAAGCCCGGGGCUCAACCCUGGGACUGCUCUGGAAACUGUAAAGCUGGAGUGCGGGAGGGGCAGGCGGAAUUCCUGGUGUAGCGGUGAAAUGCGUAGAUAUCAGGAGGAACACCGGCGGCGAAGGCGGCCUGCUGGACCGUAACUGACGUUGAGGCUCGAAAGCGUGGGGAGCAAACAGGAUUAGAUACCCGAGUACC